rnacentral:rRNA from 1 species
UGGGGAAUUUUGGACAAUGGGGGCAACCCUGAUCCAGCAAUGCCGCGUGUGUGAAGAAGGCCUUCGGGUUGUAAAGCACUUUUGUCAGGAACGAAACGGAGCUGGCUAAUACCUGGCUCUAAUGACGGUACCUGAAGAAUAAGCACCGGCUAACUACGUGCCAGCAGCCGCGGUAAUACGUAGGGUGCGAGCGUUAAUCGGAAUUACUGGGCGUAAAGCGUGCGCAGGCGGUUGUGCAAGACAGAGGUGAAAUCCCCGAGCUUAACUUGGGAACUGCCUUUGUGACUGCAUGGCUAGAGUGUGUCAGAGGGGGGUAGAAUUCCACGUGUAGCAGUGAAAUGCGUAGAUAUGUGGAGGAAUACCGAUGGCGAAGGCAGCCCCCUGGGAUAACACUGACGCUCAUGCACGAAAGCGUGGGGAGCAAACAGGAUUAGAUACCCUGGUAGUCCACGCCCUAAACGAUGUCAACUAGUUGUCGGGUCUUAAUUGACUUGGUAACGCAGCUAACGCGUGAAGUUGACCGCCUGGGGAGUACGGUCGCAAGAUUA